rnacentral:rRNA from 1 species
AUUGACCGCUGGCGGCAGGCUUAACACAUGCAAGUCGAGCGAGCGGCGGACGCGUAGGUAAUGUCUGGGAAACUGCCUGGUGAAGGGGGAUAGCUACUGGAAACGGUAGCUAAUACCGCAUACCAUCAGAUGUGCCCAGAUGGGAUUAGCUAGUAGGUGGGGUAAUGGCUCACCUAGGCGACGAUCUCUAGCUGGUCUCAUAGGAUGACAAGCAACACUGGAACUGAGAUACGGUCACGACUACGACGGGAGGCAGAAGUGGGGAAUCUGGCACAAUGGGCGCAAGCAUGAUGCAGUCAUGCCGCGUGUGUGAAGAAGGCCUUCGGGUUGUAAAGCAAUUCCAGAGAGGAGGCGUGACUAGCAGAAGAAGCACCGGCUAACUCCGUGCCAGCAGCCGCGGUAAUAC